CAACACUUAGCCAAAAAAAUAAGAAAACGCUCAAAUUAAAAACCAAACCCUAAUUUCUAUAUAUUUUCUCUAUCCUCUUUCUCUCCUUUACCUCUCCGCUAUCUUCCUCGAUUCUUCCUUUCUUCCUAGAUUAUUCACUUCUCCUCAGCUCUCCUUUACCUCGUCACUCUCUCCAUAUGAUUAUACACCCCUGGAUCUAUUGGAUUCUAUCAAUUUCAUCCCCAAAUUCCUCUUCUUCUUAAAUUCUAUAAAUGAAUCAUUUUCCAUCUUCGUCGCUUGCCUCAGAUACCCUAAACCAUAGCUUUCGAUUUCGUUGGCUUGAAGCCCCAAACCAUCUUCGACGCUCGGUUCUUCAAUUGCGUCAGCCUCCUCCCUCUUUAUCCUUCUCUUUUGCAUCCGCAGGUGUUCGACGAAUUGCCUCAUUAUUGGCUUGCUUGUUACUUAACAUUGUUUGGUGUUCUGUCCUUAAGAUUCUACCUUCCAAGUCAUUAACACGUAUAAGAGUAGAGAAGAGGUAUAGUUUAUCUUUGGUGGGUGCUUAAGAUUCGAAUCAGUUGGUCUCCAGCUUAAAACACAUGAAGAUGCGAUAACUAACAUCAAAAAUGAGCUUGCAGUUGUGGAGCUUAAAGUUCAGGUCUUUAUUUCUUAUCUAGCUUCAGAUUUGUGUAUGCACAAUCAUGUUACCAUCUUGCAAUGAACAUCAAAUCAUAUGUUCUUGUCUGAGAUUACGUGGAGCAUGUGAUCAGAGAAACUGGAGCAGAUCUGGUAUCAAUCAUAGUGUUAGUAUACUUGGGGACUAGCUUCUUCUUAAGUUUUAUAUACAUAUCUAGAGACGUGCAUUUUGGAAUGCAGGUUGGUGGAUGCCAAUACAUAAUGUUUCCAGGGAGAUAUAUUUACACUAAAAGACUGAAAGAUGCAAAGAGACUGAAGUCAAGCUUACGAUGGGUAUGGCCAUGGGAGGAAUGAAGGUAAACUGAUGUACGAAGUGCAAGUUGCUAUCUUAGCUUAAGAAGUUUGUCUAAUGUUAGUUUAUUUUGUGUAAGACUUGGUGUCACUUACGAUGUUAGUAUAAGACUUGGUAUGAUGUUAUGUAAAACUUGUUUUGGUUAAUUUGAUAUUAAUGUUAUGUAUUUUGAUGAUUUAUGUAA